GACGAACGCUGGCGGCGUGCCUAAUACAUGCAAGUAGAACGCUGAAGGAGGAGCUUGCUUCUCUGGAUGAGUUGCGAACGGGUGAGUAACGCGUAGGUAACCUGCCUGGUAGCGGGGGAUAACUAUUGGAAACGAUAGCUAAUACCGCAUAAGAGUAGAUGUUGCAUGACAUUUGCUUAAAAGGUGCAAAUGCAUCACUACCAGAUGGACCUGCGUUGUAUUAGCUAGUUGGUGGGGUAACGGCUCACCAAGGCGACGAUACAUAGCCGACCUGAGAGGGUGAUCGGCCACACUGGGACUGAGACACGGCCCAGACUCCUACGGGAGGCAGCAGUAGGGAAUCUUCGGCAAUGGACGGAAGUCUGACCGAGCAACGCCGCGUGAGUGAAGAAGGUUUUCGGAUCGUAAAGCUCUGUUGUAAGAGAAGAACGAGUGUGAGAGUGGAAAGUUCACACUGUGACGGUAUCUUACCAGAAAGGGACGGCUAACUACGUGCCAGCAGCCGCGGUAAUACGUAGGUCCCGAGCGUUGUCCGGAUUUAUUGGGCGUAAAGCGAGCGCAGGCGGUUAGAUAAGUCUGAAGUUAAAGGCUGUGGCUUAACCAUAGUAGGCUUUGGAAACUGUUUAACUUGAGUGCAAGAGGGGAGAGUGGAAUCCCAUGUGUAGCGGUGAAAUGCGUAGAUAUAUGGAGGAACACCGGUGGCGAAAGCGGCUCUCUGGCUUGUAACUGACGCUGAGGCUCGAAAGCGUGGGGAGCAAACAGG
rnacentral:rRNA from 1 species